rnacentral:rRNA from 1 species
AACGGGGGGGCAAGUGUUGUCCGGAUUUACUGGGUGUAAAGGGUGCGCAGGCGGACUUGUUAGUCAGAGGUGAAAUCUCACUGCUCAACAGUGAAACUGCCUUUGAUACCGCAGGUCUUGAAUCCAGAAGAGAGUUGUGGAAUUCCGAGUGUAGCAGUGAAAUGUGUAGAUAUUCGGAAGAACACCAGCGGCGAAGGCAGCAACUUGGUCUGGUAUUGACGCUCAGGCACGAAAGCAUGGGGAUCAAACAGG